GUCUCUUCAGAAACAUCCAAUAAAAUUGGAAUUACAUAGAGAAAUUAGCAUGGCCCCUACGCAUGGGUAACACACAAUCGAGAAUUGGUAUGAAUUUGU
rnacentral:snRNA from 1 species